UGUGUGCAGGGGACAAAGAGGAAGCCAGCAGCAAACCCUGAUCCCCCAAACUGCUUUUAUCUGCCUCAUGUGCCUCACUGGGGAGGUCUCAUGUAAAUACCACCAGGAAGUUGGGAUUGGUUUCAGAUGAAAAGCCCUGAAUAUAAAAUCUUCACUUGCUUCCCAGCCCAGAGUCCCCUCUUUCCUGCAUCUCUUGCACAUUCAUUCAUCAACAUUAUGGAGCUCUUGUUGCUCUUGUUUCCCUUGGUGGCUUUUUCUAAAGGGGUCUUCUCAGACAUUCAACUUGUAUCAUUUGGGCCAGGAAUAGUGAGACCAGGAGAGAAUCUCAACCUGCUUUGUAAAGUCACAGGUUUCUCCAUCUCUACUCGGUACUAUUCGUGGAGUUGGAUCCGUCAAGCUCCUGGGAAAGGUCUGGAAUGGAUUGCAUGGAUAUACCCCUAUAAUGGAGAAACAAGAUAUGCCCCUUCUCUGAAGAGCCGAGCAAGCAUUUCUUCAGAUGCCUCAAAGAAUGAGUUCUCUCUCCAGCUGAACUCCUUGACAGCUGCAGACUCCGCUGUGUAUUUAUGUGCCCGAGAAGACACAGUGAGACAAAGCCUAUUGAGCCCUGUUCAAAAAGUAGAAGUCCUGCUUCUAUAAACAAAUACACUGUGAAA